GCGGUUGUGGGCCAUGGUGGUCGCCCUCUCUCCACAACCUCUCAACGGAAUUUCGUCAGAGGGAGGCGGAGGUUUGAUUCCUCCCAGUCGCA